AUUGAACGCUGGCGGCAGGCCUAACACAUGCAAGUCGGGCGAGCGGCGGGCGGGUGAGACAUGUAUGGGGAUUUGCCUGAUGGAGGGGGAUAACUACUGGAAACGGUAGCUAAUACCGCAUACCAUCAGCUGAACCCAUAUGGGAUUAGCGUGUAGGUGAGGUAACGGCUCACCUAGGCGACGAUCCAUAGCUGGUCUGAGAGGAUGAUCAGCCACACUGGGACUGAGACACGGCCCAGACUCCUACGGGAGGCAGCAGUGGGGAAUAUUGCACAAUGGGCGCAAGCCUGAUGCAGCCAUGCCGCGUGAAUGAAGAAGGCCUUCGGGUUGUAAAGCACUGUCAGUCGGGAGGCGGUACCGACAGAAGAAGCACCGGCUAACUACGUGCCAGCCGCCGCGGUAAUAC
rnacentral:rRNA from 1 species